UAUUAAUAUAAGUAUUAUAAUAUUGAAUUAUUUAUUUAUCUUUUAAUAUUAAAACAACUGUGUUAGUUUAGUGGUUACUAACUUAAGAAUGUGCAAAUCACUGUUAUGUUUACGUAAACAGUCUCCACCGAACAAAAAGACAAACUCGUAUACGAGUCUGUGAAAAAGCUUGACGGCAGGGGACAGGACUUGAAGGAUUAGAAUGGUUGAACACCAAGAGCCCGCUGUCGCUGUCAAAACACCUUUCCGGCAAAGUGGUUGUGUUGGAUUUUUUCACCUAUUGCUGCAUCAAUUGUAUGCAUCUGCUUCCUGACCUUCAUGAACUGGAACAUGAGCAUUCUGAUAAAGGUAUCCGGGCUCCCAGGUUUUUAUUCCAUAGCUACAGCAUGACUUAUUAGUUGUGAACAGGCAUAGCUGCCUUUUUAAUUGGUUUAAUAAUAGCUACAGUACAUUUUAGCUUCCACUGAUGCAAAGCAGGUUAUGUGCUGAACCAUACUGAUGCAAUAGUUUAAAAUAUAUUGUAUACAUGGUAACAUUUUGUUGUUUUAGAACAGGGGUUCUCAAACUGUGUGGUGUGCCUCCGUAGGUGUUAGUGUAUUUCUGUCUCAGUAUUCCCUUGGAUUUGAUGUUUUUUGACCCAUGGAACGAUGUUUAUCACAUCAGACUGCCACUGGCCUAUCCCCUCCAUUUCCAGAAUCUAGAACAGUGUAUUAUGGUGACAUCAGCAUUCUAGAAAAUGUUGACGUUUUCCGUUUUAAAACUACAGGUAAUACAAAUGAAAAAAAAAAAAAAAAAAAAAUGAAA